UUAAAUAUUAAAUAAUUAGGUGCCUUUAACUACGGUUAAGGGAGAAUAGGGAAUCAGGUGUAAAUCCUGAACGGGCCCGCCACUGUAACUAGCAGAUUGAGCUUAAGAUACCACUCAGCUUUUGGGGAAGGUAAAGCUUAAUGUAAGCUAGAAGUCAGGAGACCUGCCUAGUUAGCUAGCAACUA
rnacentral:ncRNA from 2 species